rnacentral:rRNA from 1 species
ACAGCAGCCGCCGCGGUAAUACAGAGGGUGCGAGCGUUAAUCGGAUUUACUGGGCGUAAAGCGUGCGUAGGCGGCUUUUUAAGUCGGAUGUGAAAUCCCUGAGCUUAACUUAGGAAUUGCAUUCGAUACUGGGAAGCUAGAGUAUGGGAAAGGAUGGUAGAAUUCCAGGUGUAGCGGUGAAAUGCGUAGAGAUCUGGAGGAAUACCGAUGGCGAAGGCAGCCAUCUGGCCUAAUACUGACGCUGAGGUACGAAAGCAUGGGGAGCAAACAGGAUUAGAUACCCCCGUAGUCCCUGUCUCUUAUAC